rnacentral:rRNA from 1 species
AGAGUUUGAUCAUGGCUCAGAACGAACGCUGGCGGCGUGGAUUAGGCAUGCAAGUCGAACGCGAAAGAGGGAGCAAUCCCUCGAGUAGAGUGGCGAACGGGUGAGUAACACGUGAGAAACCUACCUUCAGCAGGGGGAUAACACUCCCAACGGGGUGCUAAUACCGCAUGAGACCACGGGUCCGCAUGGGCCUGAGGUCAAAGGUGGCCUCUACUUGUAAGCUACCGGCUGAAGAUGGUCUCGCGUCCCAUUAGCUAGUUGGUGGGGUAACGGCUCACCAAGGCGACGAUGGGUAGCUGGUCUGAGAGGAUGGUCAGCCACACUGGGACUGAGAUACGGCCCAGACUCCUACGGGAGGCAGCAGUCGAGAGGCUUUGGCAAUGGGGGAAACCCUGACCAAGCGACGCCGCGUGGGGGAUGAAGGCCCUUGGGUUGUAAACCCCUUUUGUCGGGGAAGAAACACGAUCAAGUGAAUAAUUUGGUCGUUUGACGGUACCCGGCGAAUAAGCUCCGGCUAACUCCGUGCCAGCCGCCGCGGUAAUAC